AUACACGAGUGAGAAGCAGCCCAGACCCUGUGAUAGAUGGAGAAAAAGUGAUAUUAAGCUGUUCAACUGAAUGCACUCUGGAUACCAAACAUACUUACAUCUGGUAUAAGAAUGGACAACAGGUAACAGAUGGAUUGACAUUAUUAAACAAGUUGUACCUGGACUCAAUCAACAGUGAGGAGCUACAAGAGUAUUCAUGUACUGUAAGAGAUACAAUAGACAAAACAAAUGAAGCAGUGGACAGCUCAGUGUUUCUCUCUCUGUUGAUGUUUCUGCCUCAGUUUCUCAUCAUUGAAGCUCUGUGGAUGUGAUGUUGCAGGUCUGUGAGUAGAUCAGCUGUCUGUCCAUCAGAACUACUGGAGUGAUGUCACAACUCUCUUUAUGACAUCAUCACCUAGCAACAGUCUCUCAGCAGUGACAUCAGUGAUGCAGUGAUGUCAUAUACAGUGACAUAUUAAUGACAGCUCAGUGUAAAUAAUCUAAUGUUCAAAUACAUGAAUUAUUCAUUGAAGUAUUGAGUUUAUCAUUCAACAGUCUUGUGUCAGUAUCAGAUCAACUGUAACAUCACAAUGUAUAAAUCCUGUAAAAACUUUGCUAUAGUGCAUCUUUAUGUAGAUGAUACUGUGAUCUACUUUCAUCUUCACUAUAAGUCAGUCUUUUAUUGAACUCAAUGCUGUUUUUAGUUAGGUUAGGAUUUUAUUACAGUGCUGUGCUUUAAUCUUGUAGUUAGGAAAGAAUUUGUUCAGUUUAUUUUAAAAUGUUUUGGACUAUGGGGACAUUAUUUACAUGCAUGCUGCUUUCACUGCAUGGGAAUUACCUGCAUUAUCAUGGGAAAGUUUAAAGCGCUUAUUAAAAGUUCGAAGCUUAUAAAGUUUAUCUGUUAUAAGAGUGUUUUAUUGCUAUUCUCAAGCUGGAUUUUGUAUAAAUACAUUUACAUAACAUUUCAGUAUUUACAAAUAGUAUUAAAAGUCCUUUAUAUUAGUGAAUUUUAACUUUGAUAUCUAUUUUUAUUGUUUUUAAUUUCAUCUUUGUGUAAUAAUGUGUCUUCUCUGCAAGGUUUUACUCAAAAAGAGUUGGGAGACUUAGUAAAAUAAAGAUGAAAUAAAAGUAAAUAUAA